GAUGAACGCUGGCGGCGUGCUUAACACAUGCAAGUCGAACGGUGAAGGCGGAGCUUGCUCUGCUGGAUCAGUGGCGAACGGGUGAGUAACACGUGAGCAAUCUGCCCCUGACUCUGGGAUAAGCGCUGGAAACGGCGUCUAAUACUGGAUACGAGCUGCGAAGGCAUCUUCAGCAGCUGGAAAGAACUUCGGUCAGGGAUGAGCUCGCGGCCUAUCAGCUUGUUGGUGAGGUAACGGCUCACCAAGGCGUCGACGGGUAGCCGGCCUGAGAGGGUGACCGGCCACACUGGGACUGAGACACGGCCCAGACUCCUACGGGAGGCAGCAGUGGGGAAUAUUGCACAAUGGGCGAAAGCCUGAUGCAGCAACGCCGCGUGAGGGACGACGGCCUUCGGGUUGUAAACCUCUUUUAGCAGGGAAGAAGCGAAAGUGACGGUACCUGCAGAAAAAGCGCCGGCUAACUACGC
rnacentral:rRNA from 1 species